GAUGAACGCUGGCGGCGUGCCUAAUACAUGCAAGUCGAGCGAACAGACGAGGAGCUUGCUCCUCUGACGUUAGCGGCGGACGGGUGAGUAACACGUGGAUAACCUACCUAUAAGACUGGGAUAACUUCGGGAAACCGGAGCUAAUACCGGAUAAUAUAUUGAACCGCAUGGUUCAAUAGUGAAAGACGGUUUUGCUGUCACUUAUAGAUGGAUCCGCGCCGCAUUAGCUAGUUGGUAAGGUAACGGCUUACCAAGGCAACGAUGCGUAGCCGACCUGAGAGGGUGAUCGGCCACAAGGGAACUGAGACACGGUCCAGACUCCUAAGGGAGGCAGCAGUAGGGAAUCUUCCGCAAUGGGCGAAAGCUUGACGGAGCAACGCCGCGUGAGUGAUGAAGGUCUUCGGAUCGUAAAACUCUGUUAUUAGGGAAGAACAAAUGUGUAAGUAACUAUGCACGUCUUGACGGUACCUAAUCAGAAAGCCACGGCUAACUACGUG
rnacentral:rRNA from 1 species